rnacentral:rRNA from 1 species
UACGUAGGGGGCAAGCGUUGUCCGGAAUCAUUGGGCGUAAAGAGCGUGUAGGCGGCUCGAUAAGUCUGCUGUGAAAGUCCAGGGCUCAACCCUGGAAGGCCGGUGGAAACUGUCGGGCUAGAGUCCGGAAGAGGCGAGUGGAAUUCCUGGUGUAGCGGUGAAAUGCGCAGAUAUCAGGAGGAACACCUACGGCGAAGGCAGCUCGCUGGGACGGUACUGACGCUGAGACGCGAAAGCGUGGGGAGCAAACAGG